GGAAUCUUCCGCAAUGGACGAAAGUCUGACGGAGCAACGCCGCGUGAACGAAGAAGGCCUUCGGGUCGUAAAGUUCUGUUGUUAGGGAAGAACAAGUACCAGAGUAACUGCUGGUACCUUGACGGUACCUAACCAGAAAGCCACGGCUAACUACGUGCCAGCAGCCGCGGUAAUACGUAGGUGGCAAGCGUUGUCCGGAAUUAUUGGGCGUAAAGCGCGCGCAGGUGGUUCCUUAAGUCUGAUGUGAAAGCCCACGGCUCAACCGUGGAGGGUCAUUGGAAACUGGGGAACUUGAGUGCAGAAGAGGAAAGUGGAAUUCCAAGUGUAGCGGUGAAAUGCGUAGAGAUUUGGAGGAACACCAGUGGCGAAGGCGACUUUCUGGUCUGUAACUGACACUGAGGCGCGAAAGCGUGGGGAGCAAACAGGAUUAGAUACCCUGGUAGUCCACGCCGUAAACGAUGAGUGCUAAGUGUUAGAGGGUUUCCGCCCUUUAGUGCUGCAGCUAACGCAUUAAGCACUCCGCCUGGGGA
rnacentral:rRNA from 1 species